ensembl:miRNA
GUAUUAGGUUGGUGCAAAAGUAAUUGCGUUUUUUGUCAUUACUUUCAAUGGCAAACACCGCAAUUACUUUUGCACCAACCUAAUAUAA